rnacentral:misc_RNA from 1 species
GAUGAAGAACGCAGCGAAAUGCGAUACGUAAUGUGAAUUGCAGAAUUCAGUGAAUCAUCGAGUCUUUGAACGCACAUUGCGCCCCCUGGUAUUCCGGGGGGCAUGCCUGUCCGAGCGUCAUUGCUGCCCUCAAGCACGGCUUGUGUGUUGGGCCUCCGUCCUCCUCCCGGGGGACGGGCCCGAAAGGCAGCGGCGGCACCGCGUCCGGUCCUCGAGCGUAUGGGGCUUCGUCACCCGCUCUUGUAGGCCCGGCCGGCGCUCGCCGACACAUCAAUCUUUUUUCCAGGUUGACCUCGGAUCAGGUAGGGAUACCCGCUGAACUUAAGCAUAUCAAUAAGGGAGGA